GAUGAACGCUGGCGGCGUGCCUAAUACAUGCAAGUCGAGCGAACAGACGAGGAGCUUGCUCCUCUGACGUUAGCGGCGGACGGGUGAGUAACACGUGGAUAACCUACCUAUAAGACUGGGAUAACUUCGGGAAACCGGAGCUAAUACCGGAUAAUAUAUUGAACCGCAUGGUUCAAUAGUGAAAGACGGUUUUGCUGUCACUUAUAGAUGGAUCCGCGCCGCAUUAGCUAGUUGGUAAGGUAACGGCUUACCAAGGCAACGAAGCGUAGCCGACCUGAGAGGAUGAUCGGCCACACUGGAACUGAGACACGGUCCAGACUCCUACGGGAGGCAGCAGUAGGGAAUCUUCCGCAAUGGGCGAAAGCCUGACGGAGCAACGCCGCGUGAGUGAAGAAGGCCUUCGGAUCGUAAAACUCUGUUAUUAGGGAAGAAAAAAUGUGUAAGUAACUAUGCACGUCUUGACGGUACCUAAUCAGAAAGCCACGGCUAACUACGUG
rnacentral:rRNA from 1 species